UAAUAAUAUUAUUUGUUUGAUAUAAUUAAUUUCUUUUCGAGUUUUAUCGAUCAAGUUUUAUUCGAUGAUAUAAUUAUUUUAUUAAUACGUAAUCGAUAAAAAUAUAAUCACGUGUACAUAGGUACACACGUAUAAAAUUAAAUACGUAUGUGUGCGUAAAUACGAGUCUAUAAUCUGCAUUAUAUAUUCGAUAAAUUCAAAAUAUUGUUUUGUAUACCUUUCAAUGUUUACAUUUCUAAACGCGUAUAUAUAUAUUGGAAAUGUGUAUAUAGGCGUUACUACAAAAGGUCGUAAGUAAGACAAUGUUAAAGGUCGUAAGUAAGACAAUAUUAAAGGUCGUUACAUAUAAAUCGUUCGUUUCUUAUUAUUCCAUUAUUGUACGUCGUCACGUUAACACGCAUUUCGUCUAAUAUCUCUCGUGAAAAGUUUUAAUUCUUUGAAAAGAUUUUGUUCUCUCAAUUUAACAUUUAAUUAAAUAGAUUUUAUUAAUUAUUGGAUGGAUCUUCGUCGACAACAAUCUAAACACAAUGGAUCAUGAAUAGAUACAAUUUUGUAUAAAAUCGAGGUAACAAUUGAACGAAAGACAUUACCAUUUUCUUGUUGAAUAAUUCGAUAAGAAAGUUUGCCAGGAAGAAACGAGUGACAUCGAGAGGAAGAAUGAUCUACAGAAGCAAGAUGUGGUGCAGCCGGUGUGCGGAAUUUUAAUAUAAGAAGAAAAGCAGGAGAGAGAGAGAGAGAGAGAGAGAGAGAAAGUGUUCGUGAAAGAUAGAGAGAGAAAGAGAGAAAGGAGAGAGAGAGUGUCAACCCUAAUCUAUAUGUUCUCAUGGACGCUGGCAAAGGUUAAAGGUAUAUGGAAGAGAGAAUGAGAGAAAUAGAGAGAGAGAGAGAGAACUUUAAGCUCCUCGCUGAGUACGUUGUCAUCCGCUUGGCUGAACAUCGUGCACGGAUCAAGUCUAAUGCUUCUGUUUGAUGGGAGUCUGCCUUCUGGUGUAGUCAGGGGUGCGUGCCUGCGACCAUCACUAUUGCAUGUACAUUGUUAGUUGUAUGUACUACUACGUUUUCUCUUUUCAGUAUCUCAUUACUAUCCUAUCUUUCAUUGUUGUAGAUUUUCUUUAGCUUUUUGAAAACAAAAGAAGAUUUCUACAAUGAUCUUGUUAAAUGUUUGCGUUCAUAAUACUUGCUUACUUACUUAUUGACUUAUUACUCUAAUCUUUCGUUGAACAUGGAUUCCGCUAUGUGAAUUUUCUUCUUCUUCCUUUCUUCUUCUUCUUCUUCUUUUUUUUUUCUUUUUUAUAUUUCUUUUCUAUUCUUUUCUCGUUCUUAUUACGUCAGCAAUAGGAACGUUUUCACGCGCGAUAAUAUUGACAGUAAGAAUCUUUUAAUCUUAUAGCAUUAGCCAAGUAGAUUGACGUUUGACAGGAUCCUUCUUUGAGAUGUCGGAUGUUAGCCACACCCUUCGUUCGAAUCCAGUAAAGUGACGUUAAAGUUUGUCGAAGAUAAUCUCGCGAGAUGAUUUUUUUUUCCUCCUCUUUCUCCUCCUCCUCCUCCUAUUCUUCUUCUUCUUCUUCUUCUUUCUUCGAACGAUUAUUAGAAGAAAGAAAAAAAAUAGAAAAAAGAAAAAUGUGUAUACGUUCGCAUCGACUCGAUAUUGCAAUUUGCCUUAUUGCAAUAAGUGCGGUUAGGGGAUAAUCGUAUAUUUGAAUUUGUGAUCGUAGAAUUUGAUAGUGAAAUUUCUUUUUUUUCUUUCUCUUUUUUGUCUUUUUUCUUUCGUAGAGAGAAUAGGUCGAUAGGAAUGGUUCGAUAAAAAGUCACCCUCAAAAUGUGAUAUCGUGCAAUGGCAUUCGAGCCGUUUGUCGCGCUGUUAUUCGCAAUUAUCUUGGUCUGGAGAUCGUGGCACGCGUCCGGUUUUGGGGAGAAGAAAGAUUUCCCUCUCCUCUCUCUCUCUCUCUCUCUCUCUCUUUCUUUCUUUCUUUUUCUUUCUGUUUUUCUCUUUUUCUCUCUUUCUUUCUCUCUCUCUCUCUCUUUAGUUUCACAGAAACAUCGAACGAGAACAUGGUAGAAGGUCUAAGGGUGUAGUAGGGUCGAUGGUCCGAAGCGCCCGCAUUUUGCGCGUCACACGCGUCGCUGCUCGACUAGAUUGUUUGCAGAGGCUCUCAAACUAUACCUUCUUCGUGCAAAGAAAAGCAAACAUGGACUAUACCAAAUGCGCGAGAUAAGCCGCUUUAAAUAUAAUUAACAUUAAAUCUUCGUUUCCUUUCUCAAACAAGAAUGCUGUUGGAUUUUUACUUCUGAUUUUUGGCGAGCGUCUUAUUUUUCUUUUUUUUUCAUCAUUGAAAUUUAACUUUGUCGAAAAUUUUUAAGACAGUCUCGUUUAUAUAAGUAUUUUCUUCUUCUUCUUCUUUUUUUCUUUUUUUUUUUUUUUAUUCGACAAUUAUAUACCUGCAUCCUCGCCAGGAUAAAUUGUAUGUAUUUAUCUAAUAAGAGAAUCAUCGAGAAAAUCAUUAGAAAUCUUAAUAUAAUAAUUUUUUCUUAAUUGUAUUGUAUAUUUCAUAUUUGUAUUGGUAUAUAUGUAUAUAUAUAUAUAUAUAUUUUUUUUUUUAGCAAAAUAAUACUA